CUAAGUUUGAUGGCGACCGGCGCACGGGUGAGUAACACGUAUCCAACCUGCCGAUGACUCGGGGAUAGCCUUUCGAAAGAAAGAUUAAUACCCGAUGGCAUAGUUCUUCCGCAUGGUAGAACUAUUAAAGAAUUUCGGUCAUCGAUGGGGAUGCGUUCCAUUAGGUUGUUGGCGGGGUAACGGCCCACCAAACCUUCGAUGGAUAGGGGUUCUGAGAGGAAGGUCCCCCACAUUGGAACUGAGACACGGUCCAAACUCCUACGGGAGGCAGCAUG
rnacentral:rRNA from 1 species